rnacentral:rRNA from 1 species
AUUGAACGCUGGCGGCAGGCCUAACACAUGCAAGUCGAACGGUAACAGGAAGAAGCUUGCUUCUUUGCUGACGAGUGGCGGACGGGUGAGUAAUGUCUGGGAAACUGCCUGAUGGAGGGGGAUAACUACUGGAAACGGUAGCUAAUACCGCAUAACGUCGCAAGACCAAAGAGGGGGAACUUCGGGCCUCUUGCCAUCGGAUGUGCCCAGAUGGGAUUAGCUAGUAGGUGGGGUAACGGCUCACCUAGGCGACGAUCCCUAGCUGGUCUGAGAGGAUGACCAGCGACACUGGAACUGGAACACGGUCCAGACUCCUACGGGAGGCAGCAGUGGGGAAUAUUGCACAAUGGGCGCAAGCCUGAUGCAGCCAUGCCGCGUGUAUGAAGAAGGCCUUCGGGUUGUAAAGUACUUUCAGCGGGGAGGAAGGGAGUAAAGUUAAUACCUUUGCUCAUUGACGUUACCCGCAGAAGAAGCACCGGCUAACUCCGUG